UACGUAGGUGGCAAGCGUUGUCCGGAUUUAUUGGGUUUAAAGGGUGCGUAGGCGGCCCUGUAAGUCAGUGCUGAAAUAUCCCGGCUUAACCGGGAGGGUGGCAUUGAUACUGCGGGGCUAGAGUACAGAUGAGGUAGGCGGAAUUGACGGGUGUAGCGGUGAAAUGCUUAGAUAUCGUCAAGAACAACCUAUAGCGAAGGCAGCUUACUAGGCUGUAACUGACGCUGAGGCACGAAAAGUGUGGGGGAUCAAACAGG
rnacentral:rRNA from 1 species